CGAGCGAACGGACGAGAAGCUUGCUUCUCUGAUGUUAGCGGCGGACGGGUGAGUAACACGUGGAUAACCUACCUAUAAGACUGGGAUAACUUCGGGAAACCGGAGCUAAUACCGGAUGAUAUUUUGAACCGCAUGGUUCAAAAGUGAAAGACGGUCUUGCUGUCACUUAUAGAUGGAUCCGCGCUGCAUUAGCUAGUUGGUAAGGUAACGGCUUACCAAGGCAACGAUGCAUAGCCGACCUGAGAGGGUGAUCGGCCACACUGGAACUGAGACACGGUCCAGACUCCUACGGGAGGCAGCAGUAGGGAAUCUUCCGCAAUGGGCGAAAGCCUGACGGAGCAACGCCGCGUGAGUGAUGAAGGUCUUCGGAUCGUAAAACUCUGUUAUUAGGGAAGAACAUAUGUGUAAGUAACUGUGCACAUCUUGACGGUACCUAAUCAGAAAGCCACGGCUAACUACGUGCCAGCAGCCGCGGUAAUACGUAGGUGGCAAGCGUUAUCCGGAAUUAUUGGGCGUAAAGCGCGCGUAGGCGGUUUUUUAAGUCUGAUGUGAAAGCCCACGGCUCAACCGUGGAGGGUCAUUGGAAACUGGAAAACUUGAGUGCAGAAGAGGAAAGUGGAAUUCCAUGUGUACGGUGAAAUGCGCAGAGAUAUGGAGGAACACCAGUGGCGAAGGCGACUUUCUGGUCUGUAACUGACGCUGAUGUGCGAAAGCGUGGGGAUCAAACAGGAUUAGAUACCCUGGUAGUCCACGCCGUAAACGAUGACGUGCUAAGUGUUAGGGGUUUCCGCCCCUU
rnacentral:rRNA from 1 species